UACGUAGGGUGCAAGCGUUAAUCGGAAUUACUGGGCGUAAAGGGUGCGCAGGCGGCCCCGCAUGUCAGGCGUGAAAUCCCCGGGCUCAACUUGGGAAUGGCGCUUGAAACUAUGGGGCUGGAGUGUGGCAGAGGGAGGUGGAAUUCCAGGUGUAGCGGUGAAAUGCGUAGAGAUCUGGAGGAACACCGAUGGCGAAGGCAGCCUCCUGGGCCAACACUGACGCUCAUGCACGAAAGCGUGGGGAGCAAACAGGAUUAGAAACCCCCGUAGUCC
rnacentral:rRNA from 1 species